GAUGAAGAACGUAGCGAAAUGCGAUAAGUAGUGUGAAUUGCAGAAUUCAGUGAAUCAUCGAAUCUUUGAACGCACAUUGCGCCUUCUAGUAUUCUGGGAGGCAUGCCUGUUUGAGCGUCAUUAAACCUCUCUCAAGUAUGAUUACUUGGAUGUGAAGGAAGAGUACCUUAAACUUAAGGAGUGUUCUCCUUUGAAAUUGAUUAGCAGAUGGUAAUGUUAUUAAAUCCCUGAUGUUGUAAGAAAUAACAGUGGUUUUGUAGACUAUUAUCUAGCUUUAAAUUUAAUUUUUAUUAUGGUUGACCUCAAAUCAGGUAAGGAUACCCGCUGAACUUAAGCAUAUCAAUAAGCGGAGGA
rnacentral:misc_RNA from 1 species